GAUGAACGCUGGCGGCGUGCCUAAUACAUGCAAGUCGAGCGAACAGACGAGGAGCUUGCUCCUCUGACGUUAGCGGCGGACGGGUGAGUAACACGUGGAUAACCUACCUAUAAGACUGGGAUAACUUCGGGAAACCGGAGCUAAUACCGGAUAAUAUAUUGAACCGCAUGGUUCAAUAGUGAAAGACGGUUUUGCUGUCACUUAUAGAUGGAUCCGCGCCGCAUUAGCUAGUUGGUAAGGUAACGGCUGACCACGGCAACGAUGCGUAGCCGACCUGAGAGGGGGAUCGGCCACGCUGGAACUGAGACACGGUCCAGACUCCUACGGGAGGCAGCAGUAGGGAAUCUUCCGCAAUGGGCGAAAGCCUGACGGAGCAACGCCGCGUGAGUGAUGAAGGUCUUCGGAUCGUAAAACUCUGUUAUUAGGGAAGAACAAAUGUGUAAGUAACUAUGCACGUCUUGACGGUACCUAAUCAGAAAGCCACGGCUAACUACGUG
rnacentral:rRNA from 1 species